rnacentral:rRNA from 1 species
AGCUCCAAUAGCGUAUAUUAAAGUUGCUGCAGUUAAAAAGCUCGUAGUUGCAUUUCCGAGGCAAGGGAUUAGUCCGAACUUUGGUGGGUAUUUAAUCCUCUUGCCUCGUCCUUGAGUGGUGCUUCUUGGUAUUAAGUUAUCGAGGAGAUAGCCGCUCAUCGUUUACUGUGAGAAAAUUAGAGUGUUCAAAGCAGGCUUAUGCCGUUGAAUAUAUUAGCAUGGAAUAAUAAGAUAGGGCCUCGGUACUAUUUUGUUGGUUUGAGAACCAAGGUAAUGAUGAAUAGGGACAGUUGGGGGUAUUCGUAUUCAGUUGUCAGAGGUGAAAUUCUUAGAUUUACGGAAGACGAACUACUGCGAAAGCAUUUACCAAGGAUGUUUUCA